rnacentral:rRNA from 1 species
UACGUAGGGUGCGAGCGUUGUCCGGAAUUAUUGGGCGUAAAGGGCUCGUAGGCGGUUUGUCGCGUCGGGAGUGAAAACACUGGGCUUAACUCAGUGCUUGCUUCCGAUACGGGCAGACUAGAGGUAUUCAGGGGAGAACGGAAUUCCUGGUGUAGCGGUGAAAUGCGCAGAUAUCAGGAGGAACACCGGUGGCGAAGGCGGUUCUCUGGGAAUGUCCUGACGCUGAGGAGCGAAAGCUAGGGGAGCAAACAGG